ACUGCCCUUAGGAGCACUGCAAGUGUGGCUGCUGUGUCACAUGUGUUUCAGUAGAUGGCAGUGAGGGGAGAGGCUGUGCCUCGGCCCAGUGUUCUGCCCUGUGAACAUCAGAAUAAUUAGUAGCCAAUGUU
ensembl:snoRNA LOC120094505 small nucleolar RNA SNORA17